GGGGGCGUACUGGUUUCGACGGGGAUAAUAGAGGUGGGAGAAGCGAGUCGCGGACUCCGGGGCCGCGUAAAAACCUGGAACUUAAACACAAACGCUAAUAACGAUAAUUUAGCAUUCGCAG
rnacentral:tmRNA from 1 species